CGGGGUGUAGUAUACCGGUAGAAUGCGCGGUUUGGGACCGUGAGGAGGGAGUUCAAUUCUCCCCACCCCGACCA
rnacentral:tRNA from 1 species